rnacentral:rRNA from 1 species
GAGCGUCGUGUGGCGAGUGAAGCGGCGGAGUGAUCCAGCCGUGGACGCUACACGAGUGAGAAUGCAGGCAUGAGUAGCGAAAGACGGGUGAGAAACCCGUCCUCCGAAAGACCAAGGGUUCCAGGGCCAGGUUAAUCCGCCCUGGGUAAGUCGGGACCUAAGGCGAGGCCGACAGGCGUAGUCGAUGGACAACGGGUUGAUAUUCCCGUACCGGCGAACAACCGCCCAAGCUAAUCCAGUGGUGCUAAGAGUCCUAACCCGGUACAACCGGAUCCCUUCGGGGUGAUGGUGGCCGGUCUAACGCUCGACCCCAUGCUGGUGCGGUUAGCGUAUGAACAGGUGUGACGCAGGAAGGUAGCUGAGCCAGGCGAUGGUAUCCGUAAGGUGAACCUGGUGUAAGGAUGUAGGGCUGACGAUAGGCAAAUCCGUCGUCUGUGUGCCUGAGAUCCGACGCGUACCCGUAAGGGGAAAUCAGUGAUCCUAUGCUGCCGAGAAAAGCAUCGACGCGAGGUUGCAGCCGCCCGUACCCGAAACCGACUCAGGUGGUCAGGUAGAGAAUACCAAGGAGAUCGAGAGAAUCGUGGUUAAGGAACUCGGCAAAAUGCCCCCGUAACUUCGGGAGAAGGGGGGCCGGACACGUGACCGGAUUUACUCCGUGAGCGUUGAAGGCCGCAGAGACCAGUGGGAAGCGACUGUUUACUAAAAACACAGGUCCGUGCGAAGUCGCAAGACGAUGUAUACGGACUGACGCCUGCCCGGUGCUGGAAGGUUAAGAGGAAGGGUUAGCCUUUGGGCGAAGCUCUGAAUUUAAGCCCCAGUAAACGGCGGUGGUAACUAUAACCAUCCUAAGGUAGCGAAAUUCCUUGUCGGGUAAGUUCCGACCUGCACGAAUGGCGUAACGACUUCCCAGCUGUCUCAACCGCGAACUCGGCGAAAUUGCACUACGAGUAAAGAUGCUCGUUACGCGCAGCAGGACGGAAAGACCCCGUGACCUUUACUACAGUUUGGUAUUGGUGUUCGGAGUGGCUUGUGUAGGAUAGGUGGGAGACUGUGAAGCGGGCACGCUAGUGUUCGUGGAGUCAUUGUUGAAAUACCACUCUGGUCACUUUGGAUGUCUAACGUAGGACCCUGAUCGGGUUCAUGGACAGUGCCUGAUGGGUAGUUUAACUGGGGCGGUUGCCUCCCAAAGAGUAACGGAGGCGCCCAAAGGUUCCCUCAACCUGGUUGGCAAUCAGGUGGCGAGUGUAAGUGCACAAGGGAGCUUGACUGUGAGACUGACAGGUCGAGCAGGGACGAAAGUCGGGACUAGUGAUCCGGCAGUGGCUUGUGGAAGCGCUGUCGCUCAACGGAUAAAAGGUACCUCGGGGAUAACAGGCUGAUCUUGCCCAAGAGUCCAUAUCGACGGCAUGGUUUGGCACCUCGAUGUCGGCUCGUCGCAUCCUGGGGCUGGAGUAGGUCCCAAGGGUUGGGCUGUUCGCCCAUUAAAGCGGUACGCGAGCUGGGUUUAGAACGUCGUGAGACAGUUCGGUCCCUAUCCGCUGCGCGCGUUGGAAAUUUGAGAAGAUCUAUCCCUAGUACGAGAGGACCGGGAUGGACGAACCUCUGGUGUGUCAGUUGUUCUGCCAAGGGCACCGCUGAUUAGCUACGUUCGGACCGGAUAACCGCUGAAAGCAUCUAAGCGGGAAGCCGUCUUCGAGAUGAGAUUUCCAUGCACCUUGAGUGUGAGAGGCUCCCAGCAGACUACUGGGUUGAUAGGCCGGAUGUGGAAGCGGGGACUAACGACCCGUGGAGCUGACCGGUACUAAUAAGCCGAAGACUUGAUAACACA